UCGAGAAGGUUCAUUCUUUCUUCUUCUUAUUCUUUUUUUUCUUGUUCUUUCUUCUUUCUAUUUUCUUUUCUAUCUUUCUUCUUCUUCUUCUUCUUCUUUUUAUCUGGCGAUUUAGGAUGAAAUCUCUGUCGAUUAAAUUCACAGAAAGUUAGUGAAAUCAUGGAAUCAAAUAAGGUGUUGUUGAGUUCAUAAAUUGGGUUUGAUCAGAAGUUUCGGUUUAAUUGAAGAGAGAUGGUUUUGUGAGAAUUAGGGUUUCGUUGUUGAGAAUUGAGAAUUGAAUUGGAGUCUUCUGAGAAUAGAAGAUGGUGAUGAUGAUUAGAAGUCUGACCAUCGAGAAAAGAAGAAUACAAUGGAGGAAACCAGUUGGUGAUGGUGGUGUCAGUUCAGGUGAUUCAAUUCCAGAAGAAUCGAAUAAGGAUUUUUAAGUGUAAUGACUUAUUAAUGCUCUACGGAUAUUUGUCCCAAUACAUCAACAAAUACACUGGUGCUUAGUCGUGAUCAAUAAGAAGGAAGAGAAGGUCCAGUAUCUUAAUUCUCUUAAAGGCGUCGAUACUGAUGUCUUGGAAAAUCCGGAUGUAUUAAGAGACGUUUUUUUGGUGUUUGUUAACAGUUGCUAACAACACAUGGUCUUCUAAACACAAUAAAUGUUGCCGAAAUCACUGGUAAACGUGGUUUUACUUCGUCAAUGACACUGUACUUGCACUAGACAGAGAAAAAUCUAGAGAAGUUAGGGAAAAGCUUGCAAGCUCGCAAGCAAGGUAUUGCAUCACAAUACUGGUUUCCAAUAAUUUCAUAAAAGCUAAUUGCUUAUUUGUGGUAUUGGUCUAGCUGAAAUUGGAGUUGAUACUGAAUACACAAGUCAGAUGCAUGCGUAAAUCUCAAUUACACCAGAUAGAUGCAUAUGUAACUUCCAGUUACA